AGUGAACGCUGGCGGUAGGCCUAACACAUGCAAGUCGAACGGCAGCACCGUAAGAGCUUGCUCUUACGGGUGGCGAGUGGCGGACGGGUGAGGAAUACAUCGGAAUCUACUUUGUCGUGGGGGAUAACGUAGGGAAACUUACGCUAAUCCCGCAUACGACCUACGGGUGAAAGCAGGGGAUCUUCGGGCCUUGCGCGAUUGAAUGAGCCGAUGUCGGCUUCGCUAGUUGGCGGGGUAAAGGGCCACCAAGGCGACGAUCCGUAGCUGGUCUGAGAGGAUGAUCAGCCACACGGGAACUGAGACACGGCCCAGACUCCUACGCGGGGAAGCAGUGCGGAAUAUUGGACAAUGGGCGCAAGCCUGAUCCUGCCAUACCGCGUGGGUGAAGAAGGACUUCGGGUUGUAAAGCCCUGUUGUUGGGAAAGAAGAGCAGCAGGUUAAUACCCCGCUGUUCUGACGGUACCCAAAGAAUAAGCACCGGCUAACUUCGUG
rnacentral:rRNA from 1 species